rnacentral:rRNA from 1 species
GACGAACGCUGGCGGCGUGCUUAACACAUGCAAGUCGAACGGAAAGGCCCUGCUUUUGUGGGGUGCUCGAGUGGCUAACGGGUGAGUAACACGUGAGUAACCUGCCCUUGACUUUGGGAUAACUUCAGGAAACUGGGGCUAAUACCGGAUAGGAGCUCCUGCUGCAUGGUGGGGGUUGGAAAGUUUCGGCGGUUGGGGAUGGACUCGCGGCUUAUCAGCUUGUUGGUGGGGUAGUGGCUUACCAAGGCUUUGACGGGUAGCCGGCCUGAGAGGGUGACCGGCCACAUUGGGACUGAGAUACGGCCCAGACUCCUACGGGAGGCAGCAGUGGGGAAUAUUGCACAAUGGGCGGAAGCCUGAUGCAGCACCGCCGCGUGAGGGAUGACGGCCUUCGGGUUGUAAACCGCUUUCGCCUGUGACGAAGCGUGAGUGACGGUAAUGGGUAAAGGAGCACCGGCUAACUACGUG